AUGCUUUUCUGGCAGAGGAGUCUUAGCCAUGAUCAAUGAGGUGGCUCUCCCAGGGCGUAGCCAGUUUAUUGCUCUCCGAGCCCACUGUCCUCUGCGUUUUCUCUACAUGUGCAGACUCAACCACACAAUUUAUGGUAGUGAGGGACUGUCAUAGCACUUUUCCCUG